rnacentral:rRNA from 1 species
AUUGAACGCUGGCGGCGGGCUUAACACAUGCAAGUCGAGCGGAGAUGAGGUGCUUGCACCUUAUCUUAGCGGCGGACGGGUGAGUAAUGCUUAGGAAUCUGCCUAUUAGUGGGGGACAACAUUCCGAAAGGAAUGCUAAUACCGCAUACGUCCUACGGGCGAAAGCAGGGGAUCUUCGGACCUUGCGCUAAUAGAUGAGCCUAAGUCGGGUUAGCUAGUUGGUGGGGUAACGGCCUACCAAGGCGACGAUCUGUAGCGGGUCUGAGAGGAUGAUCCGCCACACUGGGACUGAGACACGGCCCAGACUCCUACGGGAGGCAGCAGUGGGGAAUAUUGGACAAUGGGGGGAACCCUGAUCCAGCCAUGCCGCGUGUGUGAAGAAGGCCUUAUGGUUGUAAAGCACUUUAAGCGAGGAGGAGGCUACUGAGACUAAUACUCUUGGAUAGUGGACGUUACUCGCAGAAUAAGCACCGGCUAACUCUGUGCCAGCAGCCGCAGUAACAC